UACAGAGGGUGCAAGCGUUAAUCGGAAUUACUGGGCGUAAAGCGUGCGUAGACGGUAGCGUAAGUCGGGUGUGAAAGCCCCGGGCUCAACCUGGGAAUUGCAUUCGAGACUGCUCUGCUAGGGUGCGGAAGAGGGGAGCGGAAUUUCCGGUGUAGCGGUGAAAUGCGCAGAUAUCAGGAGGAACACCGAUGGCGAAGGCAGGUCUCUGGGCAUUAACUGACGCUGAGGAGCGAAAGCAUGGGGAGCGAACAGG
rnacentral:rRNA from 1 species